CCUACGGGUGGCAGCAGUGAGGAAUAUUGGUCAAUGGACGGAAGGCUGAACCAGCCAAGCCGCGUGAAGGACGAAGGUGCUAAGCAUUGUAAACUUCUUUUGUCAAGGGACAAAAUCAGGCACGAGAGCCUGACCGAGGGUACUUGAAGAAAAAGCAUCGGCUAACUCCGUGUCAGCAGCCGCGGUAAUACGGAGGAUGCGAGCGUUCUCCGGAUUUAGUGGGUUUAAAGGGUGCGUAGGCUGGGAGGUAAGUCAGCGGUGAAAUGCCCCCGCUCAACGGGGUGAAGUGCCUUUGAUACUGCCUUGCUGGACUGCGGCUGCCGUGGUCGGAAUGUGUUGUGUAGCGGUGAAAUGCAUAGAUAUCACCCAGAACACCGAUUGCGAAGGCAUCUCACGAAUCCGCGAUUGACGCUGCUGCACGAAAGCGUGGGUAUCAAACAGGAUUAGAUACCCUUGUAGUC
rnacentral:rRNA from 1 species